UUGAAUGUUAUGACACCCUCCUACUUUCUGA
rnacentral:piRNA from 1 species